rnacentral:rRNA from 1 species
UACAUGGGGUGCAAACGUUGCUCGGAAUUAUUGGGCGUAAAGUGCGCGUAGGCGGUUACUUAAGUCGGAUGUGAAAGCCCUCGGCUUAACUGAGGAAGUGCACCCGAAACUGAGUAGCUAGAGUACGAAAGAGGGUCGCGGAAUUCCCGGUGUAGAGGUGAAAUUCGUAGAUAUCGGGAGGAACACCGGUGGCGAAGGCGGUCUGCUGGGGUAAUGCUGACACUGAUGCGCGACAGCGUGGGGAGCAAACAGG